GGUGAACGCUGGCGGCGUGCUUAAGACAUGCAAGUCGAACGGCAGUCUUCGGACUGUAGUGGCGCACGGGUGAGUAACGCGUAACUGACCUACCCCAAAGUCGCGGAUAACGAUUCGAAAGAAUCGCUAAUACGUGAUGUGCUGUCAGAUUGUGUUCUGCCAGUAAAGAUUGAUUGCUUUGGGAUGGGGUUGCGUUCCAUCAGCUAGUUGGUGGGGUAAAGGCCCACCAAGGCGACGACGGAUAGCCGGCCUGAGAGGGUGGCCGGCCACAGGGGCACUGGGACACGGGUCCCACUCCUACGGGAGGCAGCCGUUAGGAAUCUUCCACAAUGGGCGAAAGCCUGAUGGAGCGACGCCGCGUGAGGGAUGAAGGUCUUCGGAUCGUAAACCUCUGAAUCAGGGACGAAAGACACUUCGGUGGGAUGACGGUACCUGAGUAAUAGCACCGGCUAACUCCGUGCCAGCAGCCGCCGUAA
rnacentral:rRNA from 1 species